AGCCCACCACCACCACGGAUGCUCCGGAAAGCACUGCCGACACAACGAAGGCAAAAAGGAGCUCCAAGGAGGACGCUGACCUCGCCUACUCCUCCUUCCUCGUCACCUCCGACAGCAUCGCCCAGCGCAGCUCCGGUGGGGACAGCGCAGUCCUGGACGUGUCCCCCAGCCAGGACCGGGUCUGAGGGGCAGGUGGCAGCACCUGGGACUGCCUCUACCUUGAGAAUCACUUCACAAUUCAUUGAUCCCACAGUUUGCUAUAACUUGACCUUUUUUUUUUCUUUUUGCUUAAAUUCAGCUUUGAGUGGUGAUUUAGGAGGAAUGGUUUGAUUCCCAAGGGGGCUGGAAGUGCAGGUCUGAGUGAGGAGGUUGGGCUGGGAAACAGCAGGAACUCGAGUGGCUCGUCCCACCAGCAGCCCCAGUUCCUACACUGGGCUCUCACUGGCCAGAAGGAGCAUUGUGAAAAAAAAAAAAAUCCCAUUUUCUUUUAAAGGCAGCUGGAAAACCCUUUAGAACAGCAUCUGAUGCUUUUGAUUUCCCUAAGCUUUCCCGACCUGAGGGCAGCACCUGCAGGCCAGACACGUCUGGAGUGUUUGUAUGCAUGAUCAAUAAAGAAUCCAGUGGCUUUCAGCAGACUGGGGAACUCAGGGUCUGUGGGAUAUCACAAGAAAGCCCACCCAGACAGGCACAGAAAGGGUGGGAAAAGCUGAAUAUUCCACAGAUAAAGCAGUGUAGGAAGCUGUAAUUAUGAAGAGGUGGCAAUGGCAGGCUGGCUUAGCUGGCAGACACCGAGUCUCACUGAGGAUAAACACAAAUUAUCCCUACAUUGCAGAUUCCCGAAUUUCACUGAGGAUAAAACACAAAUAAUUCCCGAAUUGCGGACUUUCAGUGCUGGGGUGAGCAGGGCAGUGUCUCCCUCCUGCUCACUUCUCACAUCCACAUUGCACCUUCCUGCCAGCCCUCAGAGGGAGGUGAGAGCUCACCUGCCGCAUCCCCAGGGCUGCAUCCCCUCAGUGGGAAGGGCUUUGGGUCUCGGAAAAGGCGUGCGGGGACCGGGACAGGUCUGUGGAGAGGCCGGGAAGGGUCUGUGGAGAGGCCGGGACAGGUCUGUGGAGAGGCCGGGAAGGGUCUGUGGAGAGGCCGGGACAGAUCCCUGGAGAGGCCGGGAAGGGUCCCUGGAAGGCAGGGACAGAUCCCUGGAGAGGCCGGGACAGGUCCCUGGAGAGGCCGGGAAGGGUCCCUGGAAGGCCGGGACAGGUCCCUGGAGAGGCCGGGAAGGGUCCCUGGAAGGCAGGGACAGGUCCCUGGAGAGGCCGGGAAGGGUCCCUGGAAGGCCGGGACAGAUCCCUGGAGGGGACAGAUCCCUGGAGAGGCCGGGAAGGGUCCCUGGAAGGCAGGGACAGAUCCCUGGAGAGGCCGGGAAGGGUCCCUGGAGAGGCAGGGACAGAUCCCUGGAGAGGCCGGGACAGGUCCGCGCCCGCCCGGAGCCGCUGGAAGGGAGGGAAUGCCUGACUCAGGUGCAACAGGAAAGGCGUGAGCCUGGAAAGCAUCCCCGGAGGGAAGCGGCGACAGGAGAGCGGACCGGUUUGGAAAUUUCUGAAAGGAGAAAACCCCUUUUGCUCUCCCUGUGCAAAUCCUCUUCCUCCUCAGCCUGCCCCACGGCCUUUCCCCAGCUCCGCUCCUCCCUCGGCGCCCUGGGAGCGAUGAGAGAUGAGCUGAGCUCCGGGAGAGCAGCGGGGGCAGUCAGGGUGGGUGGGCUGAGCAUCCUGCAUCCCUCCUGCAGCCCUCCUGCAACCCUCCUGCAUUCGUCCUCCAUCCCUCCUGCAUUCAUCCUGCAUUCGUCCUCCAUCCCUCCUGCAUUCAUCCUGCAUUCGUCCUGCAUCCCUCCUGCAUUCGUCCUGCAUCCCUCCUGCAGCCCUCCUGCAACCCUCCUGCAUUCGUCCUCCAUCCCUCCUGCAUCCGUCCUGCAUCCCUCCUGCAUCC
ensembl:lncRNA